AUACUUACCUGACGCGAGAGGCACCCUGAUCAACUAGGAGGUCCUCUCAGGAUGAGGCCCUUUCAUUGCACUUCGACUGGGUUGACUCCUGCGAUUACCCCUAAUGUGGGUAACUCGAGCGUAUAAUUUCUGGUAGUGGGGACCUGCGUUCGCGCUCGUCCCCU
rnacentral:snRNA from 1 species